rnacentral:lncRNA from 1 species
UUUGAGAGCUAACUUGAAGUUCUUUUCAAAGAUAUAAAAAUUAUUUUGAGAGGGGUUUGGAGGACUUAGCAAUUGUUGUUUAAAGUCAAAGUUUGUAUUAGUGAUUUGGAUUUUAUAUAAUAUAAUUAGGGCUAGAAAUUUUGGCUAGUUCAUGCAAUUAAUAUGACAUCUACAGUUCAAAAUUUGAAAAUGUUUGGAUUAUUGGGUGUGCUAAGUGUAUACAAAAUUUUGUAAUAAUCUAAUAGUGUGGUUUAGAGAUAUCUAGUUUUUAGCACGAGAGGAUUUCGGAAGGUGGCAGUUUGAGGUUGGAUAGGGUUUCUAUGACAUCUAAAGAUCUAUUAGUCAGAUUAAGGUGAAAAUUGGCAUGGUGUUGAAGGACUUGAAGAUCAAGCUACUUAGAAAUUUUGAAAUAAAUUUAAUAGUUGAAAAGGAAAAAAUCAUUGCUGGGAUUUUUGCUUCACUUUUCAAGUUGGUAGCCGAGUGAUAUUAAUGCAAUUUUUGGAGAUUUUUUUACAAUUUGUAAGUUGGAUUGGGCUAAAAGUUCUUGAGCACAUAGAAGACUUACAUUGAAAAUUGCAUGCAAAAUUCCACAUCAAGUAGAUGGUCAGAUUGGAUGUUAUAGAUUCUUAAAGCUCAUUGAUUAGGAUUGG